rnacentral:rRNA from 1 species
CGCAUCUGUGCAUGCAGCAUAUCAAUAAGCGGAGGAAAAGAAACUAACAAGGAUUCCCUUAGUAACGGCGAGUGAAGCGGGAAGAGCUCAAAUUUGAAAUCUUCAAGGUUUUACCUUGACGAAUUGUAGGUUUAAAGAAGUGUUUUCUGUUGAAGUUUUGGUAAAAGUUCUUUGGAAUAGGACAUCAUAGAGGGUGAGAAUCCCGUAUUUGACCAUUAUUUUCAGCUGUGUGAUACACUUUCAAAGAGUCGGAUUGUUUGGGAAUGCAGUCCAAAAUGGGUGGUAAAUUUCAUCUAAAGCUAAAUAUUGGCGAGAGACCGAUAGCGAACAAGUACCGUGAGGGAAAGAUGAAAAGAACUUUGAAAAGAGAGUUAAACAGUACGUGAAAUUGUCAAAAGGGAAGCGUUUGACACCAGUGUUGUUUUCUCGAAAAUCAAUUAAAAGGAGUUUGAUUUUGUUGUGUAUUGACCUUAACAGCUUGCAUUUCAAUUUUCUUGCUUUUUUUAAUGCACUUUUCGUUUAACAAGUCAACAUCAGUUUCUUUUGUUGUAAAAAGGUCAUUGGAAGGUGGCUUUCUUUUCGGAGAAAGUGUUUAUAGCCUUUGACUCCUGCAAUCGGAGAGACUGAGGUCUGCAGCGUAGAUCCUUCGGGGUUAGAUACAUUUGUGCUAAGUUAUAGCUUUUUAUAGACAACUUGUUGACUAUGAUUAGUCUUGUAGCUUACUCGCUUAUGCUAUUUUACCUACGCUUAGGAUGUUGAACUCUAUCACACACAG